CCUCAUCACAUUGGCACACCAGUUCCUGUACAAUCACUAAAGUUAAGCAAUGUUGAGCCUGGUCAGUACCUUGAUGGGUGACCACUUGGAAAUACCAGGUGCUGUAA